GGAAGAUUUGAUGCAGCCUUGCUGGCUUGAAAAUGGAGGGGUUCAUGUGUAAGGACGUGGGUGACCUCCCAGUUGAAGGCCAGCAAGGAAACCAGGACUACAGUCUCACAACCAAAAAGAAUCGGAUUCUGCCAACAACAGGAAUGAGUUUGGAAGUGGAUUUUCCCCCAGAGCCUCUAGAGGACUUUGCUCCCUGAGCAGUGAAGCCAGUCAUGCUGUGCAGAACUUCUGACCUACAGAACUCUGUGCUAACAAAUGAGUGUUGUUUUAGUCUGCUAAGUUUGUGGCAGUUUGUUACACAGUAAUCAAAAAUUAAUGCAGAGGGGGAAAAUGAAAUAGAAGGAGCUCAGAUAAGCUCCUCCCCACCACCACAAGCUGCAUUUAAGUGGAUCACACCAGCUCCAGGAGUAAAUCAGGGAAGACGACUCAUGUGCAUUUUCCCUCGUGCCUGGAUCUUCAUUGGAACAUGGAUUAAAAGACUCAAAAGGGAAACAUCUACCAAUUACAACACGUGAAGCUUCAUAUAAGUUUUUGGAUCCUGAUCCAAAAAACCGUCAGGAAAACAAAUUAUGAGAUGAUGUAACAAGUACCAGACGGACCGCUGAGACUUAAAACACUAAAAACCUUAAGGAAAAUCUAUGAACCGAUGGCUCUUACCCUGGGCAACAGGCAGCAUGAGAAAGUCAUCCCCGUGACAGGAGAGGCGAGUGAGGCGGCCCGCGACGGCCCCAGCUGACUGUCUGGAGAGUCUCUUGAGCUGCAGCGCUGGGUGGGGGACCCAUGCAGAGCCUGGUCGUGUCACAGCUGAGGAGGCCGCAUGGAGGCCCCGGAGGCCACAGCCGGACGCAGAGGAGCGACCGCCCGGGACCCGGAAGUGACCCGGAAGUGGGCGCUCACAGCCGCGGGGGUGGGGCAGAGGCCUUCUGGGCGGGUUCCGUGUGCUUCUUGUGGGGCGCGCGCUGCCCUGAGCUUUCUCAGUGUCCCUUCCCCACCUUGGCCUUCAUGGGCUGACUCUGCAUCCGCGCUCGUUGCUACUCUGUGUUAGGCUCGUGGUGGCUUCUCUGCUCUUCCAGUCCUGCCUCCCAGCCUCCUCAGGAGCCCCGACGGAGACCUUGGAAAAGAGCUCGCGUGUGAGUACGAACGCCCGCUCCUUGUGUCUGGGACUAACCUUGUUGCGCUUAGGCCACACUUAAGAAUUUAUUACCAUUUUAGCUGUUUCCUUCCAACCUGCUGUUUCGGGCAGCCAUGUCCUCCUCCAUCUCUGACAAAGGUGUGUCCCCUUUGGUCGGAGGCACUUGUCAGUCUUUGGAAUUGUGUUCACUUCAUUGGCUCGUAGCCUCACCUCCUCAGAUGGGCUCAAGAAAAGUUACGAUGUUUUAGAAUGUCAGGCUUUUUCUUGUUGUUAGAAUGGAAGCCACAUCCUCCUAAGCGAAGUGGAACUCGGCCUCAUUCAUUUUAACAAACAUUUACUGAGUGCCUUGCUUGUCAGGCUCUGCACAUGCAGACAGAUGAAACAUGGCCUUCUCUGUUCGCAGACCAUCUACUGGAUCAGACGAGGAGCUGUCACCGCAGGAUGUGGUCUUUGUCUUUGUUUAUGACAAUUAGGCACCCGAGGCUGUCUGGGACAGCCAAGAGCGCUUUCAUCUGGAAAGUAAAGCUCAUGUGAAUCUCUUGCAGAGAAAUAGAGGUUUCCAGGUGGGCAAAGGAGGUGAGGACAUCCUAGGCAGAGAAAACACCACACCUAUAGUCACAGUGGGAUGAAAGAGCAAAGCUGUCCUCAUGAGGGCCUGGUCCUGAACCCCAAGUUUGCUGCUGGAGCUCCCUGGCAGUCACCAGCCAUCUAGAUUUUAUACCAGACAACUCCCCACCACAAACACAAGCCUAUGCAAGUGGGCCUUUCAGGGAUCCUGUUGUCCUUGUCAUAGCUUUAUUAUACCCUCCCAUGAUGCAGGAUCCCUGAGUCUUUGUCAUCCACUCUCCUAGACCAUGAGCUCCUCAAAGGCGGUGAUGGUUUUAUACAUCUCUGCAUUCCCUGCACCCAGUUCAGUAGCUGGCUUGGUAGAAGCUCAGGAAGUGUUGGAUGAACUGAAAUCAAAUAGUGUUCCUGAAUGCCCCAUCAGGGUGUUUGGAUCACUCUCUGGCUGCUGUUCCUCAGAUGUGAAUGCACCCCUAAAAAGCAGGGUGUCUAGGAGGUCAACAUACAGAUUUCAUGGUCAUUUUGUUUGUUUUUAAUUGAAGUAGGUGGCAGAGGGUAGGGACCAUCUUAUUCCAGGCUCUCAUUACCUCCUGGAAUUUGCAAGUCUGGUCUUUGCUAAAUGUUAACUUUUAGUGAGCUGAAUUAUUCAUUCAUUCCCCUACCCCGGUGACAUUUUGAUUGCUGCAUUCACUGUUUAAAUUUUGAAUGAUCUCAGAUUCUAUUUGAGCCUGCCUCGGACGCAGUAAUAACUGCCACAGGAGAACAGAGAAUCUCUUGCUCUGCAACAAUGGUUUCAACUGUAAUUUUACAAAGCAAGUAACUUCCGCUUAAACCAAGGAAACAACGGAGGAAUCUGUUUUCAAAUGUGACAUUCUUUCCCAUGGGAAGUGCUUUCAAAUGUGUUUUGGUUCUGCCUUUUGCUUUUGCCUGCCUUCUUGUCUCUCACCAGGAGAACAAUGUCAUAUUUUGCUAGAACAUAACUAUCUUGGGUACAUGGGAUAAAAGGAUGACUUGAAAUAAAAAACACUAAAAUUUUCUAUUUAGUAGUUAAUUGUGGGAAAGUUAAGACUAUCAAAUGAAAAUAUAAAGAAUAGUUUAUUUACACAUGGUUUAGUACUUAGAUGUUUAAAAUAAGUAAAAAACACACUUAUAGUUACGUUUAUAGUUUUGGUUGCAGAGCUGAGGGAGAAAUGAAAUCUGGAGCAUUCAGGCAGGAAAACCUAGGAAUGGCUUCAGAUAAGUCACAGUGAAGCUGGUUCUUGAAGGGUGUGUGAGAGCUGACAGGGGAGGGCUGUCCAGCGGAAGAAACAGCGAGUGCUACGGUGCAGGAUUAGCUAGUUUCUCUAGUUUAAUCUAACCAAUUGUAACUAAAUACCUAUUUUCGUCAUAUCUCCUUUUUAGGUACUUUGAACUUUUCCCUUUGUUUUUAAAUGAAACUACUCCACCACCUCAAACAAGAACUCUUCCCAGAUGAUGGGUCUGUGUUACUGUCUCCUUCCCUGUUUGAACUCUCAGCCUCGUUUCUGUUUGACUCCCAUUCCUUUUGUGAUUUGACUUCACAUUCUUUCUCACCACCCUCCUGAAAACUUCUUUCCCCUCUUGCUGCCGUCUGGCUUCCUCUGGCCCCUCCCUGUCUGCUGGUGUGCAGUGAGCAUGCAGUUGGAAGGCUCCUUCUGAAGAUGGAUGGUGGCAGGGUCUGAAAAUGGAACAGACAGCAAAUAAGCUCACGAAUCUCUGUUUGUAUUUUCAUCAGUAAUACACGUUUACCAAGUUUUUGUUGAAUACCUACUAUUGAGACAGACAUAUGAACAAAAAUUCUCUAAUAUGUUGUCCAAUUAUGUGGGCUGAUAAGUUAUACUAAAACAUAUUAAAUAUUAGACUUAAAGUGCUCUGGAACCUCAGAGGACUUCCCUUUCAGGAGGUCAUGGAAAGCUUCACAAAAGUGAUGAUCAGGGCAGAUCCAGGUUUAGAGGGGUCUGAAGCUUUUGAAGGUUGUCAGAAUCAAAAUGGAGUCACUUGAGUUAAAAUCCUGACAAAUGGGGGCAGAGAAGGCCAUGAAGGGAGGGUUCUCACGCAUGUGUGCCUCAUAACAAGAACAGUUACAAAAGAUGGCAAAAACUGCAGCCUUGCACAAAAGCCAUAGUAACCUUACACAGAAAAUACUUCUGCAUGGACGUCUAUCCAGCAACUGCCUGUCUCAGCUUGGACUGAUGCCACCCUUGUUAUUGAACCUUGUAGGCAAGCAUACUUGAUUCAAAAUACUUGAUGUAUUUCUUCUCAUUUUGCCUUUAAAAACUUCCCCUUUGGUUGGGCGC